GCCCGGUUGCCGUGGUUGCAGGCCCGGCCCGCCUGCUCGCUCGCUGACAGCCAGACUUAGGGCGGAGGGAACUGGGUCCGUUGGUCGGUCGGGAACGAGG
rnacentral:pre_miRNA from 1 species